AGAAGAGAGAAUCGAGGAGGAUUGGAAGAAAUUUAAGAACUAUCUACAAAAAUAUUGUGAUUUGAGUGAAUGCUAAAUAAGAUGCUAGACUAAAUAACUGAGCACCACUUAACUUAGAAGUUUUUAAGAAAAUAAGUAAGACUGUGAAAGUUUAACUCUCUAUGAGAACCAUAAGAUUAUGAAAUAUUGAAGAGAUAUAAGAAUUUAAAUAAGAUGAUAAAUUGCUGACAAAAUGUUAUAACGAUGAAAGUGGGAGCGGGAGAUGUGAGGAAGUCCAAAGAAAAUGUGAAACUAUGUUAAGACAAAUGUUAUAUUGUUUACUAUGUUUAUUCUUACUGUAAAACCCAAUAAAUUGCUUU